rnacentral:rRNA from 1 species
CCUACGGGUGGCUGCAGUGGGGAAUAUUGGACAAUGGGCGAAAGCCUGAUCCAGCCAUGCCGCGUGUGUGAAGAAGGCCUUCGGGUUGUAAAGCACUUUCAGUGGGGAAGAAAGCCUUGGGGCUAAUACCCUCGAGGAAGGACAUCACCCACAGAAGAAGCACCGGCUAACUCCGUGCCAGCAGCCGCGGUAAUACGGAGGGUGCGAGCGUUAAUCGGAAUUACUGGGCGUAAAGCGCGCGUAGGCGGUCUGAUAAGCCGGUUGUGAAAGCCCCGGGCUCAACCUGGGAACGGCAUCCAGAACUGUCAGGCUAGAGUGCAGGAGAGGGAGGUAGAAUUCCCGGUGUAGCGGUGAAAUGCGUAGAGAUCGGGAGGAAUACCAGUGGCGAAGGCGGCCUUCUGGACUGACACUGACGCUGAGGUGCGAAAGCGUGGGUAGCAAACAGGAUUAGAUACCCUAGUAGUC